AUUGAACGCUGGCGGCAGGCUUAACACAUGCAAGUCGAGCGAGCGGCGGACGGGUGAGUAAUGUCUGGGAAACUGCCUGAUGGAGGGGGAUAACUACUGGAAACGGUAGCUAAUACCGCAUACCAUCAGAUGUGCCCAGAUGGGAUUAGCUAGUAGGUGGGGUAAUGGCUCACCUAGGCGACGAUCCCUAGCUGGUCUGAGAGGAUGACCAGCCACACUGGAACGGAGACCCGGUCCAAAUCCCUACGGGAGGAAGCAUGGGGGAAUAUUGCACAAUGGGCGCAAGCCUGAUGCAGCCAUGCGGCGUGUGUGAAGAAGGCCUCCGGGUUGUAAAGCACGUUCAGCGAGGAGGCGUUCCUCGCAGAAGAAGCACCGCCUAACUCCGUGCCAGCGGCCGCGGUAAAC
rnacentral:rRNA from 1 species